GUUCAGGUCGCAGUCUCCUCUGGAGGCGUGGCGGAAGCUAAGCAGGGUCGGGCCUGGUUAGUACUUGGAUGGGAGACCGCCUGGGAAUACCAGGUGCUUUAAGCU
rnacentral:rRNA from 1 species